CCUACGGGAGGCAGCAGUAGGGAAUCUUCCACAAUGGACGAAAGUCUGAUGGAGCAACGCCGCGUGAGCGAUGAAGGCCUUCGGGUCGUAAAGCUCUGUUGUUAGGGAAGAACAAGUACCGGAGUAACUGCCGGUACCUUGACGGUACCUAACCAGAAAGCCACGGCUAACUACGUGCCAGCAGCCGCGGUAAUACGUAGGUGGCAAGCGUUGUCCCGAAUUAUUGGGCGUAAAGCGCGCGCAGGCGGUCCUUUAAGUCUGAUGUGAAAGCCCACGGCUCAACCCGUGGAGGGUCAUUGGAAACUGGGGGACUUGAGUGCAGAAGAGGAAAGCGGAAUUCCACGUGUAGCGGUGAAAUGCGUAGAGAUGUGGAGGAACACCAGUGGCGAAGGCGGCUUUCUGGUCUGUAACUGACGCUGAGGCGCGAAAGCGUGGGGAGCAAACAGGAUUAGAUACCCUGGUAGUCCACGCCGUAAACGAUGAGUGCUAAGUGUUAGGGGGUUUCCGCCCCUUAGUGCUGCAGCUAACGCAUUAAGCACUCCGCCUGGGGAGUACGGCCGCAAGGCUGAAACUCAAAGGAAUUGACGGGGGCCCGCCACAAGCGGUGGAGCAUGGUGGUUUAAUUCGAAGCAACGCGAAGAACCUUAC
rnacentral:rRNA from 1 species